rnacentral:lncRNA from 1 species
CCUGAUCAGUGCUGCCUCCAUAUACUUCAUCUGUACUGACAUAGACAAACUUCUCCACAUUGGCUUCAUGGGCAGCAGCAACCAGUACAUUAGUGCCAUAAACAUUCACAUAAGUGAAUUCCAGGGCAUGCCAAAAUGAAAGAUCUACAUGCGUUUGGGCUGCAAAAUGAAGAACUAUGUCAAUUUUCUCAGUUUCAAAAAGUUGUUUGAUAAAAUGAGGUUCAC